AUACCAUGUUGGUAAUGAGGUCCUUUAUCUACUGACCCAGAUGAACUCCUGAUACCAUGUUGGUAAUGAGGUCCUUUAUCUACUGACCCAGAGUCAGAUGAACUCCUGAUACCAUGUUGGUAAUGAGGCCCUUUAUCUACUGACCCAGAGUCAGAUGAACUCCUGAUACCAUGUUGGUAAUG